UUUCUGAGAAUUUUCGAAAAUGAGUUAUUUUCUUUUUUCAUCAUGCAAUCACCAAGAUAACUUUACUUUUGUCCUAAAGCUGACACAGCAAUCUACAACAACUGAUAAGGAGAAAAGUCAUUGUUUUUGUCUAAGAAAAGGAUAGAACAUUACAUUUUAUGCACGCAAGCAUGAGGACAUACAUUAGCCAAACUCAAAACAGACAAAUGAGCACACUGUACACAGUUGUAUGUCUUUACCACAAAUUAAAUGUAUUGUCUUUUCAUCAUAUGAG
rnacentral:misc_RNA from 1 species